CUUCAACGCACGUUCUAAUGAACUCGCACACCGAAUCAGCGUAUUCGUCAAUAUUGUUAUCUGACGCAAUACGAAACAUCUCCCAGUCCACGUGAUGGAAGCAGUCUUGGAGUGUGGAGUCAGCUUGGUCGGACCAGCGCUUCCCACAAUAAGUUGGGUGAAUUUUGUCCCAUUCCUCCUGACAGAACUGGUGUAACUGAGUCAGGUUUGUAGGCCUCCUUGCCUGCACACGCUUUUUCAGUUCUGUCCACAAAUUUUCUAUAGGAUUGAGGUCAGGGCUUUGUGAUGGCCACUCCAAUACCUUGACUUUGUUGUUGGUAAGCUAUUUUGCCACAACUUUGGAAGUAUGCUUGGGGUCAUUGUCCAUUUGGAAGAGCCAUUUGCGAGCAAGAUUUAACUUCCUGACUGAUGUUUUGAGACGUUGCUUCAAUAUAUCCACAUAAUUUUCCUCCCUCAUGAUGCUAUCUAUUUUGUGAAGUGCACCAGUCCCUCCUGCAGCAAAGCACCCCCACAACAUGAUGCUGCCACUGCCGUGCUUCACAGUUGGGAUGGUGUUCUUCAGCUUGCAAGCUCCCCCUUUUUCCUCCAAACACAACGGUGGUCAUUAUGGCCAAACAGUUCUAUUUUUGUUUCAUCAGGCCAGAGGACAUUUCUCCAAAAAGUACAAUCUUUGUCCCCAUGUGCAGUUGCAAACCGUAGUCUGACUUUUUUUAUGGCAGUUUUGGAGCAGUGGCUUCUUCCUUGCUGAGUGGCCUUUCAGGUUAUGUCGAUAUAGGACUCGUUUAACUGUGGAUAUAGAUACUUUUGCACCUGUUUCCUCCAGCAUCUUCACAGGGUUAAUUGCUGUUGUUCUGGGAUUGAUUUGCACUUUUUGCACCAAAGUACUUUCAUCUCUAGGAGACAGAACCCGUCUCCUUCCUGAGCAGUAUGAUGGCUGUGUGGUCCCAUGUUGUUUAUACUUGUGUAGUAUUUUUUGUACAGAUGAAUGUGGUACCUUCAUGUGUUUGGAAAUUGCUCCCAAGGAUAAAACAGACUUGUGGAGGUCUACAAUGAUGUUUCUUAGCUCUUGGCAGGUUGCUUUUGAUUUUCCUGUGAUGUCAAGCAAAGAGGCACUGAGUUCGAAGGUAGGCCUUGAAAUACAUCCACAGGUACACCUCCAAUUGACUCGAAUGAUGUCAAUUAGCCUAUCAGAAGCUUCUAAAGCCAUGACAUCAUUUUCUGGAAUUUUCCAAGCUGUUUAAAGGCAUAGUCAACUUAGUGUAUGUAAACUUCUGACCCACUGGAAUUGUGAUACAGUGAAUUAUAAGUGAAAUAAUCUGUCUGUGAACAAGAAAUUUGUUAAUUGGUCGUAAAAUGAGUUUUAAUAAUUCCAACCUAAGUCAGGAAUGCAUCGAACCAAAAUAUUCCUUCGGGGAAGCUCCCAAGCCAUCAAGACCCACGCCUCACGCCAUUGGCCGUUCGAUAGCCACGCUUUCACCCGGCGUUCAAGGAGUAGCAGUCUGCCUGCCACAGUGCCACAUCCAACCAGCCAAUAGUACGAUUAUUUACUGGCAGAUAGUAAGCUAAAUGCCACCACGCUCCAUGUAAAUUUAGCAAGCUAGCUAGCG
ensembl:lncRNA